UACGGGGGGGGCAAGCGUUGUUCGGAAUUACUGGGCGUAAAGGGCUGGUAGGCGGCCAACUAAGUCGGAUGUGAAAUCCCCAGGCUUAACCUGGGAACUGCAUCCGAUACUGGUCGGCUUGAAUCCGGGAGAGGGAUGCAGAAUUCCAGGUGUAGCGGUGAAAUGCGUAGAUAUCAGGAAGAACACCCGUGGCGAAGGCGGCUCUCUGGGACGGUACUGACGCUGAGACGCGAAAGCGUGGGGAGCGAACAGG
rnacentral:rRNA from 1 species